rnacentral:rRNA from 1 species
GACGAACGCUGGCGGCACGCUUAACACAUGCAAGUCGAACGAGAACUUCGGAGCUUGCUCCGGGGGGACAGUGGCGAACGGGUGAGUAACACGUGAGGAACCUGCCCCGAAGACCGGGAUAACACCGGGAAACCGGUGCUAAUACCGGAUGCCCUCACUGGAUCGCAUGGUCCGGUGAGGAAAUGGAUUCCGCUUCGGGAUGGCCUCGCGGCCUAUCAGCUUGUUGGUGGGGUAACGCCCACCAAGGCUUCGACGGGUAGCUGGUCUGAGAGGAUGUCCAGCCACACUGGGACUGAGACACGGCCCAGACUCCUACGGGAGGCAGCAGUGGGGAAUCUUGCGCAAUGGGCGAAAGCCUGACGCAGCGAUGCCGCGUGCGGGAUGAAGGCCU